rnacentral:rRNA from 1 species
GACGAACGCUGGCGGCGUGCUUAACACAUGCAAGUCGAACGGAAAGGCCCUGCUUUUGUGGGGUGCGCGCGUGGCGAGCGGGUGAGUAACACGUGAGUAACCUGCCCUGGGCGGUGUGAUAACGUCAGGGAAGUGGGGCUAAUACCUGAGAGGAGCUCCUGCUGCAUGGUGGGGUUUGGAAAGUUUAGGCGGUUGGGGAUGGACUCGCGGGUUAUCAGCUUGUAGGUGGGGUAGGGGCUUACCAAGGCUUUGACGGGUAGCCGGCCUGGGGGGGUGACCGGCGACAUUGGGCCUGAGAGACGGACCAGACUCGUACGGGAGGCAGCAGGGGGGAAUCUUGCCCAAUGGGCCGAAGCCUGAUGCAGCAACGCCGCGUGCGGGAUGACGGUCUUCGGGUUGUAAACCGCUUUCGCCUGUGACGAAGCGUGAGUGACGGUAACGGGUAAAGAAGCACCGGCUAACUACGUG